rnacentral:rRNA from 1 species
AGUGAACGCUGGCGGUAGGCCUAACACAUGCAAGUCGAACGGCAGCACAGUAAGAGCUUGCUCUUACGGGUGGCGAGUGGCGGACGGGUGAGGAAUACAUCGGAAUCUACUUUUUCGUGGGGGAUAACGUAGGGAAACUUACGCUAAUACCGCAUACGUCCUACGGGUGAAAGCAGGGGAUCUUCGGACCUUGCGCGAUUGAAUGAGCCGAUGUCGGAUUAGCUAGUUGGCGGGGUAAAGGCCCACCAAGGCGACGAUGCGUAGCUGGUCUGAGAGGAUGAUCAGCCACACUGGAACUGAGACACGGUCCAGACUCCUACGGGAGGCAGCAGUGGGGAAUAUUGGACAAUGGGCGCAAGCCUGAUCCAGCCAUACCGCGUGGGUGAAGAAGGCCUUCGGGUUGUAAAGCCCUUUUGUUGGGAAAGAAAAGCAGCAGGUUAAUACCCCGCUGUUCUGACGGUACCCAAAGAAUAAGCACCGGCUAACUUCGUG